rnacentral:rRNA from 1 species
UACGGGGGGGGGCAAGCGUUGUUCGGAAUUACUGGGCGUAAAGGGCUCGUAGGCGGCCAACUAAGUCAGACGUGAAAAUCCCUCGGCUUAACCGGGGGAACUGCGUCUGAUACUGGAUGGCUUGAGUUCGGGAGAGGGAUGCGGAAUUCCAGGUGUAGCGGUGAAAUGCGUAGAAUAUCUGGAGGAACACCGGUGGCGAAGGCGGCGAUCCUGGACCGACACUGACGCUGAGGAGCGAAAGCCAGGGGAGCAAACGGGG